GACAGAGGUGGCAAGCGUUGUUCGGAUUCAUUGGGUGUAAAGGGUCCGUAGGUGGUCUAGCAAGUCUGAUGUGAAAUCCCAUGGCUUAACCGUGGAACUGCAUUGGAAACUGUUGGACUUGAGUACCGCAGAGGUAAAGGGAAUUCCCGGUGUAAGGGUGAAAUCUGUAGAUAUCGGGAGGAACACCAGUGGCGAAGGCGCUUUACUGGGCGGUUACUGACACUGAGGAGCGAAAGCAAGGGGAGCAAACAGG
rnacentral:rRNA from 1 species